rnacentral:rRNA from 1 species
NNNNNNNNNNGGAUUCCCCUAGUAACUGCGAGUGAAGCGGGAAAAGCUCAAAUUUAAAAUCUGGCGGUCUUUGGGCUGUCCGAGUUGUAUYCUGGAGAAGCGCUUUCCGCGCCGGACCGUGUAUAAGUCUCUUGGAAUGGAGCGUCACAGAGGGUGAGAAUCCCGUCUUUGACACGGACUGCCGGUGCUUUGGUGAUGCGCUCUCAAAGAGUCGAGUUGUUUGGGAAUGCAGCUCAAAAUGGGUGGUGAAUUCCAUCUAAAGCUAAAUAUUGGCGAGAGACCGAUAGCGAACAAGUACCGUGAGGGAAAGAUGAAAAGCACUUUGAAAAGAGAGUCAAACAGUACGUGAAAUUGUUGAAAGGGAAACGCUUGAAGUCAGUCGCGUGGGCCGGAACUCAACCUCACUUCUGAGGGGUGCACUUUCCGAGUCAACGGGCCAACGUCGAUUUUGGCUGCCGGACAAGGAUUGGGGGAAUGUGGCACUUGCUUGCGGGUGUGUUAUAACCUCCGGUCGGAUACGGCGGAUCGGGAUCGAGGACCGCGGUGGCUUCUCGGGGCUGCUUAGGAUGUUGGCGUAAUGGCUUUAAACGACCCGUCUUGAAACACGGACCAAGGAGUCUAACGUGCAUGCGAGUGUUUGGGUGGAAAACCCGGGCGCGUAAUGAAAGUGAAAGUUGAGACCUCUGUCGCGGAGGGCAUCGACGCCCGGACCUGAUCUUCGGUGACGGAUUUGCGGUAGAGCAUGUGCGUUGGGACCCGAAAGAUGGUGAACUAUGCCUGAAUAGGGUGAAGCCAGAGGAAACUCUGGUGGAGGCUCGUAGCGAUUCUGACGUGCAAAUCGAUCGUCAAAUUUGGGUAUAGGGGCGAAAGACUNNNNNNNNNNNNNNNNNNNNNNNNNNNNNN